rnacentral:rRNA from 1 species
AUAAAAUAAAAAUUAGUAAAUUUUAAAUUAAUAAAAAUAAUUUUUAAUAAAAUAUUUAAUUUUAGGGGGUUUAAGUAUUUUUUAAAGAAAAAAUUUUUUAAUUUAUAAAGAAUUAGUAUUGUGAAAGAAUUUUGAAAUAAUUGAAAAUUAAUUUUUUUUAAAGUAAAUUUAAUUUAUUGUAUCUUGUGUAUCAGAGUUUAUUAAUAAAAUAUUUUUAAUAAAAAAAAAAUUCUCGAAUUUAAAAGAGUUAAUUAAUUAAUAAAUUUAUUGUAGCAAAAAUAUUUUUCAUAAUUAGUUAGAAAUGAUAUGUUAAUCGUUUUUAAAUAUAUCUAGUUUUUUUAGAAAAAAAUUUAAUUUUAAAUUAAUUUUAUAAAAAUAUUAAUUAAAAAAUAUUUUUUAAAUAAAAUUUAAUAAAUUAAGGGAUAAGCUUUAAUUUAAAAUAUUAUAAUAAUUUUUAUUUAAUUGAAAAUUUUAAAAUUUAUAUUGUUUAUAAAUUAUAAUUUUUUAUAAAUAAUUUCAUUAAAAAUAAAAUUUAAUAAAAAUUUAAUUUUUUUAUAAAAAAAUAAAAUUUAAUAAUAAAAUUUUAGUUAUAAUGAUAAAAUUAGUAUAAAUAAAAAAAAAUAUAAUAUAAAUAAUUAUAAAAAUUAAAUUAAUAAAUGUAUAUUUGUUUAAUAAGUUAUAAGGAAUUCGGCAAAAAUUUAUAUUCACUUGUUUAUCAAAAACAUGUCUUUUUGAAUAAUAAUUAAAAGUCUAAUCUGCCCACUGAUAAAAUUAUUAAAGGGCUGCAGUAUUUUGACUGUACAAAGGUAGCAUAAUCAUUAGUCUCUUAAUUGGUGACUUGUAUGAAAGAUUGAAUGAGAUAUAUACUGUCUUAUUAUUUUUUAUAGAAUUUAAUUUUUUAGUCAAAAAGCUAAAAUAAUUUUAAAAGACGAGAAGACCCUAUAGAGUUUUAUAUAAAAUAAUAAUUAAAAAUUUUUUUAUUAAUUUAAAAUUAAAAUUAAAUUUUAUAUUUUGUUGGGGUGAUAGAAAAAUAAAAUUAACUUUUUUUAUAUAUAUAUAUAUAAUUAACAUUUAUAGAUGAAUAAUUGAUCCAUAAUUUUUGAUUAUAAGAUUAAAUUACCUUAGGGAUAACAGCGUAAUUUUUUUUUUUAGUUCAAAUAAGAAAAAAAGUUUGCGACCUCGAUGUUGGAUUAAGAUAAAAUUUAAAUGCAAAAGUUUAAAAUUUUGAUCUGUUCGAUCAUUAAAAUCUUACAUGAUCUGAGUUCAAACCGGUGUAAGCCAGGUUGGUUUCUAUCUUUAAAUAAUUAAAAUAUUUUAGUACGAAAGGAUCAAAUAUUUAAAAUAAUUUUAAUAAAAUGAAGAAUGUUAAUAAAAUUUAUUUAAAAAAUAAAAAUUAAA